GAUGAACGCUGGCGGCGUGCCUAAUACAUGCAAGUCGAGCGAACAGACGAGGAGCUUGCUCCUCUGACGUUAGCGGCGGGCGGGUGAGUAACACGUGGAUAACCUACCUAUAAGACUGGGAUAACUUCGGGAAACCGGAGCUAAUACCGGAUAAUAUACUGAACCGCAUGGUUCAAUAGUGAAAGACGGUUUUGCUGUCACUUAUAGAUGGAUCCGCGCCGCAUUAGCUAGUUGGUAAGGUAACGGCUUACCAAGGCAACGAUGCGUAGCCGACCUGAGAGAGUGAUCGGCCACACUAGAACUGAGACACGGUCCAUACUCCUACGAGAGGCAGCAGUAGGGAAUCUUCCGCAAUGGGCGAAAGCUUGACGGAGCAACGCCGCGUGAGUGAUGAAGGUCUUCGGAUCGUAAAACUCUGUUAUUAGGGAAGAACAAAUGUGUAAGUAACUAUGCACGUCUUGACGGUACCUAAUCAGAAAGCCACGGCUAACUACGUG
rnacentral:rRNA from 1 species